UACGUAGGGGGCAAGCGUUGUCCGGAAUCAUUGGGCGUAAAGCGCGUGUAGGCGGCCAGAUAAGUCCGCUGUGAAAUCUCGAGGCUCAACUUCGAGCUGUCGGUGGAAACUGUCUGGCUAGAGUCCGGAAGAGGAGAAUGGAAUUCCUGGUGUAGCGGUGAAAUGCGCAGAUAUCAGGAAGAACACCAAUGGCGAAGGCAGCACUCUGGUACGUGACUGACGCUGAGACGCGAAAGCGUGGGGAGCAAACAGG
rnacentral:rRNA from 1 species